UACGGGGGGAGCAAACGUUGUUCGGAAUCACUGGGCGUAAAGGGAGCGUAGGCGGCCAUGUAAGUGAGGUGUUAAAUCCCCCGGCUCAACCGGGGACCUGCACCUCAUACUGCACGGCUUGAGUACAUCAGAGGAGACUGGAAUUCCCGGUGUAGCGGUGAAAUGCGUAGAUAUCGUAAGGAAGACCAGUGGCGAAGGCGGGUCUCUGGACAGUUCCUGACGCUGAGGCACGAAGGUCAGGGGAGCAAACGGG
rnacentral:rRNA from 1 species